GACGAACGCUGGCGGCGUGCUUAACACAUGCAAGUCGAACGAACAGACCCUGCUUUUGUUGGGUGCACGAGUGGCGAGCGCGUGUGUAACACGUGUGUAUAAUGCCCUUGUCUUUCGGAUAAAUUCACGAGACUGGGGCUCAUACAGCGUAUGAGAUACUGCUGCGUGUUGGUCGAUGGAGAGUUUCGGCGGUUGGGGCUGGUUUGGCGGCUUAUCAGCUUCUUGGUGUGGUAGUGGCUUACCAGGGCUUUGACGGGUAGCCGGCCUGAGAGGGGGACCGGCGACCAGGGUACUACGAGACGCAGCAGACGCGUACGGGACGCAGCAGUGGGGAAUAUUGCACAAUGGGCGGAAGCCUGAUGUAGCAGCGCCGCGUUCGUGAUAACGGGCUUCGGGGUGUAAACAGCUUUCGCAUGUGACGAAGCGGUAUUGACGGUAAUGGGUAAAGAAGCAACGGCUAACUACGUG
rnacentral:rRNA from 1 species